rfam:Sarcophilus harrisii ctg7180002435859, whole genome shotgun sequence.
UCUGGGGUGUACAGAGAAGCUAUCACCUCAGA